AUGCACGCUGGCGGCGUGCUUAACACGUGCCAGUCGCACGGUGAAGGCGGAGCUUGCUCUGCUGGAUCAGUGGCGAACGGGUGAGUAACACGUGAGCAAUCUGCCCCUGACUCUGGGAUAAGCGCUGGAAACGGCGUCUAAUACUGGAUACGAGCUGCGAAGGCAUCUUCAGCAGCUGGAAAGAACUUCGGUCAGGGAUGAGCUCGCGGCCUAUCAGCUUGUUGGUGAGGUAACGGCUCACCAAGGCGUCGACGGGUAGCCGGCCUGAGAGGGUGACCGGCCACACUGGGACUGAGACACGGCCCAGACUCCUACGGGAGGCAGCAGUGGGGAAUAUUGCACAAUGGGCGAAAGCCUGAUGCAGCAACGCCGCGUGAGGGACGACGGCCUUCGGGUUGUAAACCUCUUUUAGCAGGGAAGAAGCGAAAGUGACGGUACCUGCAGAAAAAGCGCCGGCUAACUACGUG
rnacentral:rRNA from 1 species